CCCGCCGGCGCCGGGCGCUCCCCUCCUCGCACGGGCCGGCCGAGCUGUCCCUCAGCGCGGGGUGUGGAGGGGCGGCGGCGGCGCGGGCCGCGCUUGCCGGGGAGUCCGGAGGCGGUGCUGACAGGACGGCGCGCGGAGGCGCUGCGGGCCGCUCCCGACCUGCGCCAGCCCGGCUGGGCUCGGCUCAGCUCAGCCUGGCUCAGCUCGGCUCAGCUCGGCUCAGCCCGGCCCGGCCCGGCCCGAGGUGAGGCAGCGGGGCCGCGGGUCUGACCGCGGGGCGCGGCGGCGGCGCUGCCCUGCGCGCUGGGGCGCCCCCUGACGGGCGGGGCCGGGUCCCCGAGACAGCGGGACAGGGGGACACCGGGACACGGAACAGCGGGACACGGGACAGCGGGACACGGGACAGCGGGACAGCGGGACACCGACCCCGCUCCAGUCGCGGGAGACGCGUUCGGAAGAAGAGGGAGAAGCAGAAGUUUUAACCAUCUUCCCAUGGCAUCUGACUUUUUUUGAGGAAGGAGAAUGCACCCAAGAGCAGAAGCAGUGAGGUUCACAGUGGGGAAAAUGAACCCAGCAGUCCAUCCUAUCCCAUACCUGCCUGAGUACGGGAAGAGACCUCAUACAAGCCAGAAUGCAUCUGGGCUUGCAGCUCUUUUUAAUCAUAUUAAGUCCUAUUCAGAGUUAAUGGUGAGCUCAGUGAGAUGAGAUGGUCUCAGCAAUGCUGAAGAAGGGAUGAAGAGAAUUGGAAGGCAGAGCUAUUUCAAGACAGGAUUCUUCUUCUUUCCAUAAUGCCCAAACAUGAAGACUUUUAAACUUCAUUAGGUAUGGCAUCAUUUGAAUUCAUUCGGUAUGAUGAUUGCAGUGACCUGUCAUAUUUAUUUUGAUGUCCCUUCGAAGGACCAUAUGCUCUGUCCUCAGCAUGAAAAAUGAUGCAAGUUGCUCAGUGAAAGGCAGCGCUGCUCCUGUAGGGAUGAAGACCCUCACUUCCCGUUCUCACAUCAGUGGAUGUACAGCUACACGACAGUAGAGAAGGUGGAGUUGUUAUGUCAGUGCAAUGACUAAAUGGCUGUGUAGUUUAGAGAAUGGUGGAAAAAAAGGGCAAAGCUUUUUUGCAUCGAGGUACUGUGUGGCAUUAUAAACUCAGCUGUCAGUGAGGGCCAGUUGGUGUGAGGAAUCUGGCGUGUGGAAGAUGGAGAAGAUUAAAGCCAGACAGAAAUCUGCCAAGGUGGAGGUGUGCCAUGGUAGCUUUAAUGUGGGAAUACAAUUAAUUACUCUGUAUGUUGGAAGUGGGGUUGCCAUGCACACAGCCUUCCAGGGUUGCAUGGGAGUUAUUCUGGAUAUGCCAGGCUCAGAUCUUUUUCUUUGCCCAAUCCAUGUCCUCCUUUCCUCUUGAAGCUGCUUGCUUAGCCAAACAAAAUCUUGGAUUUUUUGGGGAAAAUAGGCAGUUGUAGUUUUCCUCUUCACUAAUUCUGUUGUAACCAUUGCAUCUGGUCCUUCAUUUAUUUUGGUGGUGUGUUUUUGUUGACAAGAAGUAUAUUUUCCAGAAGUUACAGAGAAAUCUACCAGUCUCAAGUUCAGCUAUGUCCCAUAAGUAAUGAACUGCUUGAUGAUAAGUAAUGUCUGGUCCCUACUGGCUGACACACAUGGCUGGUAUUAGCAAUUCGUAGUUGGUGGGUAACAGGACUUUGUUAAUGUUACUUCUGUAUGCACUAUUAACAUGAUAGCAUUGCAACCACUUCGAUAUUUUCGUGGUAUAAGGUGUAAUUGCAGCAGUGAGUGGUGAUUUGUAUGAAGUAUGUGGUCCAUUGUGCUCAUGCCAGUGGCAGAAGGAAGCCAAUUAAGUGCAGGUUAGUGAAAUAGAGUCACUAGAAGCUGUGAAUGUGAAUGAUAACUGUAUGCAAAAUUGUUUCUUUUCUAGAUCCUGCCAUCAAUGACUGAGCCUCCCUGAAAUCUUCUUAUCGGUUACUGCCAAGAUGAGAAGGAUAACAGGAAGGAGGAGUGCUUAAGUGGCUUUAAUGACAGUUAAUUUCAUCUAUUUAUCAAAUGACAGGUUGUUUUUUCCUCAAAACUCGAUUGUCAUGACAAGAUGCUUUUGCAAGUCAUCUUUGUAAAAUAAAACUGACAAUUUUUAGGCUACAAAGAGCUAUUGUGUCUUUCUAUACAAUGUUGUCAUUAUGGUAAACCUCUGGAAAGUCUUUAUUUUUGAAGUAAUUUAACUUGCAUACUUCAUUCAUUUAUUUGAAUGUCUGUUGAAUGCUAUGUGAAAAGUUUCUUGCCAGAGUUCUUUUAUUCAAUGGAAUAGUUAUUCUUACAAUGCUCAAUUUAUUAUUGUCUAAAUUACUGUUGCCUUAGCCUCCUGCAAAAAUGUUUCUUUUUGGUAAUUCUUAAACAAAUAAGGAAUGAAUGAGGUUUUGUCCCUGUCGUGUUUUGAUCAGCAUAUUUUGCCUUUCAGUAAAAGUGUCUUCAGUUUUCAAAAUGACACAAAGAAAGGUGCUUUCCUAUUCCCCCCCAACAGAACAUCUUUUGUGCAAUAAUUUUUUUAAUAUGUACACUGCCAAGAUGCAAUUACUGGAAGGAGAGAGAGAAGCUGUUGGGAAUGUCAUGUUAUGCCAAAUUAAGAAUUAUUAGCUCUUACUUUCUCUACAAUCUCUUCGACUAGAACCUGACCUAUUGCGUCUGGCAUAUACUUUGGCUCAAGUGGAACUAAUGUGUCCUUGGAGUAGCAUUUUAGAGUUACUUCAGAUUCAUGUUUUUUUUUCACAAGUCUGCUUUAAACUGCUGGGAUUAACUUCAGAGAAGGCAAGAGAUACAGCCUCCUUUGUCAGCAGCUGUGCUGGUUAAAGAAGGAGGCUUCUUGCACGCUUGCUUGCUCGCUCUCUCCGGGAGGUUAUUGCCCCUGCUAGGGAAGCAAACUGAACUGCUUCCCUGAGCACACUCAGACUCAUUUCAGCCAAAGUUAAUCGUGUCAUCAAAUAUUAGUUAUCUAUCACCCUGGGUCACUUUGAUGAAAGGGCAGGGAAUACACAGACCAGCUGUGAGGACGGUGUGUCUGGGAAGGGUGGUGAGGGUUGUUGAGGACUGGUCCUGGUGUAGCCUUUCCAGCAGGUGCAGUUUGCAUCUCUCGGCUGUUGUAAAAAUUGGACGUGUUAGAAAGCUGUGCAGUUACGUCAUGUAUAAUAUUCACAUUUCAUGGAUAUCUUGGAUAAUACAAAAUAAACCUGUGCUUUUUGACUUA